rnacentral:rRNA from 1 species
ACUUGAAUAGUAUGGAAGUAAUUAGAAUAUGUAGUGUAGCGGUGAAAUGCUUAGAUAUUACAUGGAAUACCAAUUGCGAAGGCAGAUUACUACGUACUUAUUGACGCUGAUGAACGAAAGCGUGGGUAGCGAACAGGAUUAGAUACCCUGGUAGUCCACGCCGUAAACGAUGGAUACUAGCUGUUCGGUUUUCGGACUGAGUGGCUAAGCGAAAGUGAUAAGUAUCCCACCUGGGGAGUACGUUCGCAAGAAUGAAACUCAAAGGAAUUGACGGGGGCCCGCACAAGCGGUGGAGCAUGUGGUUUAAUUCGAUGAUACGCGAGGAACCUUACCAAGGCUUAAAUGUAGAUUGACAGGUUUAGAGAUAGACUUUUCUUCGGACAAUUUACAAGGUGCUGCAUGGUUGUCGUCAGCUCGUGCCGUGAGGUGUCAGGUUAAGUCCUAUAACGAGCGCAACCCCUAUUGUUAGUUGCCAGCGAGUAAUGUCGGGAACUCUAACAAGACUGCCGGUGCAAACCGUGAGGAAGGUGGGGAUGACGUCAAAUCAUCACGGCCCUUACGUCUUGGGCUACACACGUGCUACAAUGGCCAGUACAGAAAGCAGCUACCAGGCAACUGGAUGCGAAUCUCAAAAACUGGUCUCAGUUCGGAUUGGAGUCUGCAACUCGACUCCAUGAAGCUGGAAUCGCUAGUAAUCGGAUAUCAGCCAUGAUCCGGUGAAUACGUUCCCGGGCCUUGUACACACCGCCCGUCAAGCCAUGGAAGCCGGGGGUACCUGAAGUCGGUCGCCGCAAGGAGCUGCG